CCAACGAUUCGAUUGGACGAAAAUCAACUUAAAGAUAUCUUACGCGAUUUUCAAUCUCUUAAAUCACAAGAAAGAAGUUGGAGUAUAUCGAUUUUUGAAAUUGGCGCCUUGCUUCUUCAACAGGUAACAACAGGAAUGUAGGAUUAUGGGAUAUGUACGCACAUGUCAAGGCCGCCAUUGCCAUUCGCAGAAACUUCGCGGGAAAAGUUUACAAAGUCACGAUAUCAGCAAAAACAAAGGCACCUGUUGUAACUGAUGAAUUUACUGGACGAUAGACAAUAGAUGGUUGGAAUCUGUAAAUCUGAAUUUUCUCCUGCCAUGAUAGUACUGGUCAAUUAGUCAACCUGCUGAUGAUUCGCGGAAGUGGAACUAUGCUGAUGUUGGAAUUUGUCUCCUCUGGAUAUAAAUGGGACCAAUGAGGAAUCGUGGACAUUUAUUGUUAGAUGGCACUGAGGGUGUUGUACGUACAUGUAGAGCUUUGUAAGGGGACUGCCAAGAACGGUAGAUAUUUAAUUUUGGAUUACCUGAAGGCUGUUGUUGAUUCUACCACGUGGAGGGCUUCUA